GGGGGAGACCACAAGUGGAGGAUGGAGUCGGGGAAGCGGCGAUGGUGGGAUGAGCGGUCUUCGCCAUUCUCCCCUCGCCAUGUAAUUGGCAAUAGAGAGAACACAGGAUAGAGAAAAAAUCAAGCAGAGAAAGGCCAGAGAAAUUGGGAAUAGUAGAAGUUCAUGGAGGUCGGAGGAGAACGACGGUAGAGAAGAGGAUAAGGGAAGCAGUGGCAGUGGUGUAAAUGGGAAAAGGAUAGGUUUAGGGUUUUCUUAAAAAAUUAAGUGAUGCAUAAGUUUUUUAUGGACCACAACACUUAAAAAAAAGAAAGAAAGUGGA
rnacentral:lncRNA from 1 species